rnacentral:rRNA from 1 species
AAAGGCUGCGGUAAUUUGACCGUACAAAGGUAGCAUAAUCAUUAGUUUUUUAAUUGAAAACUCGUAUGAAUGGUUUAACGAAAUAUUAGCUGUCUCAUAAAAAUUUUAAUAGAAAUUAAUUUUUUAGUUAAAAAGCUAAAAUAAAAUUAAAAGACGAGAAGACCCUAUAGAGUUUUAUAUUAAAAUAAUUAUUGUUUAUUUAUAAUAAUUUAAAUUUUAUUUUUUUUUAUAUUUUGUUGGGGUGACAAUAAAAUUUAAAAACCUUUUAUUCUUUUUUAUACAAUAAUUUUUGACUAAUUGAUCCAUUAAUAGUGAUUAUAAGAUUAAAUUACCUUAGGGAUAACAGCG